rnacentral:rRNA from 1 species
UACGUAGGUGGCAAGCGUUGUCCGGAUUUAUUGGGCGUAAAGAGCGUGUAGGCGGCCAGACAGGUCCGUUGUGAAAACUCGAGGCUCAACCUCGAGACGCCGAUGGAAACCGUCUGGCUAGAGUCCGGAAGAGGAGAGUGGAAUUCCUGGUGUAGCGGUGAAAUGCGCAGAUAUCAGGAAGAACACCCGUGGCUAAGGCGGCUCUCUAGUACGGUACUGACGCUGAGACGCGAAAGCGUGGGGAGCAAACAGG